UAAAACUAUAGUUUUCUUUAAACAAAACUAAUGCUCGUUGCUAUUCAUCUUUAGGUGAAGCUAUAUACAGUCCAUCCUUCAGAGCCAGAGAACUGCUGGCAGAAGAAAGCUUUGGUGCUCUGUUCCCCACCAAAUCCAGAAGUUGAAUCAAAUCCUGCUUACCUGAGGAGUCCAAUGACUUUGGAAAGGGAGAAAUGGCUUCAACAGAACAUGCCAGUCAGUGUCAUCCUUCUAUUUUUUUUCCCCCAAGGGUAUGACGUGCUUGCUUUGAGCUGGGGGAUGGAGGAAGAAAAGGAGAAUGAGUUGAAGCUACCUUGUUCUGAAAGACCACUUGUUCUGGACAAAGACUCUCCCACCAUU
rnacentral:lncRNA from 1 species